CCGGUACGAACUAGUACCGUAAAGCAAGUGAACAAGUGGAAACAUGAUUAGAAUAAUAAAUCUUAAAGUUAUUUGGCUAUUCACAGCUAUUACUUACCGCACAUUCUAACUUUGGGUCACUAGUUCAACUGGUUUAACACUUCUGUAAAAAA